AUUGAACGCUGGCGGAAUGCUUUACACAUGCAAGUCGAACGGCAGCACGGGGGCAACCCUGGUGGCGAGUGGCGAACGGGUGAGUAAUACAUCGGAACGUGCCCAGUCGUGGGGGAUAACGUAGCGAAAGCUACGCUAAUACCGCAUACGAUCUAUGGAUGAAAGCGGGGGACCGUAAGGCCUCGCGCGAUUGGAGCGGCCGAUGGCAGAUUAGGUAGGUGGUGGGGUAAAGGCACACCAAGCCUGCGAUCUGUAGCUGGUCUGAGAGGACGACCAGCCACACUGGGACUGAGACACGGCCCAGACUCCGACGGGAGGCAGCAGUGGGGAAUUUUGGACAAUGGGCGCAAGCCUGAUCCAGCCAUUCCGCGUGCAGGAUGAAGGCCUUCGGGUUGUAAACUGCUUUUGUACGGAACGAAAAGGCUCUUUCUAAUACAGAGGGCUCAUGACGGUACCGUAAGAAUAAGCACCGGCUAACUACGUGCCAGCCGCCGCGGUAAGAC
rnacentral:rRNA from 1 species